rnacentral:rRNA from 1 species
GAUUGAACGCUGGCGGCAUGCCUUACACAUGCAAGUCGAACGGCAGCACGGGGGGCAACCCUGGUGGCGAGUGGCGAACGGGUGAGUAAUGCAUCGGAACGUGCCCCGUAGCGGGGGAUAACCAGUCGAAAGACUGGCUAAUACCGCAUACGCUCCACGGAGGAAAGCAGGGGAUCGCAAGACCUUGCACUAUGGGAGCGGCCGAUGCCCGAUUAGCUAGUUGGUGAGGUAAAGGCUCACCAAGGCGACGAUCGGUAGCUGGUUUUGAGAGAACGACCAGCCACACUGGGACUGAGACACGGCCCAGACUCCUACGGGAGGCAGCAGUGGGGAAUUUUGGACAAUGGGCGCAAGCCUGAUCCAGCCAUGCCGCGUGCGGGAUGAAGG